rnacentral:rRNA from 1 species
AUGGCAGUUCUUGGUCUAUCUACUGCCUUCUCUCCCCCAAGAGGUUCUUGGAUAGCCGUGAGGCUCAGGAAUGGCGGCACCGGGCGGAGCAGCGGCGGGCUGUCCCUGAGGAGGUGGUCCGCCGCCGCCGUGGCCGUCCGCGCGGAGGUGAGCUUCGUGGACGGCGACGAGGCGAAGCGGCUGGUGGCGGAGGAGGGGUACACGGUGCUGGACGUCCGGGACCGGCGGCAGUACGAGAGGGCGCACGUCAGGGCCUCCGCCCACGUCCCGCUCUACAUCGAGAACGAAGACAACGACAUUGGAACGAUCAUCAAGCGGCAGGCGCACAACAACUUCGCCGGCCUAUUCUACGGCCUGUCCUUCACCAAGCUCAACCGGGACUUCACCAAGACGGUGAGGAGCAAGUUCUCGCCGGAGAGCAAGCUGCUGGUUGUCUGCCAGGAAGGCCUCAGGUCCACAGCGGCUGCAGAUGCAUUGGAGCGAGAGGGCUUCCAGAACCUGGCCUGCAUCACCUCAGGCCUUCAGACACUGAAACCAGGAACGUUCGAGACCGUCGGCAAAGCCGAGCUGCAGAAUGCGGGGAAAGCUGGCCUUGUGACCAUCCAGGGGAAGAUCUCCAUAGUUCUUGGGACUGUCUUGAUAACCUUGUUGCUGCUCAUAACAGUGUUCCCGGACCAGGCUAAGCAGAUCUUCGAGUCGGCUGGCAUCAAAUUGUGA